rnacentral:rRNA from 1 species
GAUGAACGCUGACAGAAUGCUUAACACAUGCAAGUCAACUUGAAUUUGGGUUUUUAACUUAGAUUUGGGUGGCGGACGGGUGAGUAACGCGUAAAGAACUUGCCUCACAGCUAGGGACAACAUUUAGAAAUGAAUGCUAAUACCUGAUAUUAUGAUUUUAAGACAUCUUAGAAUUAUGAAAGCUAUAAGCACUGUGAGAGAGCUUUGCGUCCCAUUAGCUAGUUGGAGAGGUAACAGCUCACCAAGGCGAUGAUGGGUAGCCGGCCUGAGAGGGUGAACGGCCACAAGGGGACUGAGACACGGCCCUUACUCCUACGGGAGGCAGCAGUGGGGAAUAUUGGACAAUGGACCGAGAGUCUGAUCCAGCAAUUCUGUGUGCACGAUGAAGUUUUUCGGAAUGUAAAGUGCUUUCAGUUGGGAAGAAAAAAAUGACGGUACCAACAGAAGAAGUGACGGCUAAAUACGUGCCAGCAGCCGCGGUAAUACGUAUGUCACGAGCGUUAUCCGGAUUUAUUGGGCGUAAAGCGCGUCUAGGUGGUUAUGUAAGUCUGAUGUGAAAAUGCAGGGCUCAACUCUGUAUUGCGUUGGAAACUGUAUAACUAGAGUACUGGAGAGGUAAGCGGAACUACAAGUGUAGAGGUGAAAUUCGUAGAUAUUUGUAGGAAUGCCGAUGGGGAAGCCAGCUUACUGGACAGAUACUGACGCUAAAGCGCGAAAGCGUGGGUAGCAAACAGG